GAUCUAAGUGUGAAAAAGAAAAUGAACUUUCGAGAAAGACACGAAAGAGAGGACCGCAGCUGAGAGCUUUGCCCAAAAGUGGCAGAAUUUGCAGCAUUCGCAACAGCCUACGAGCUUCAUCCGACCUUCUCAACGACUAAAAGAGCAAGCAGGAUCCUUGGGUCCUUUUCUUGUGGGAGAGGCUCGCUCAACGUUCAAGCCGCCACGCGACAGGAGGUCUUCUCGCUUGCCAGAAUCCCAACUGCUUUCUCGCCUUCUUGACCCUCUUCAGUGCUUCUUGUCACUGUCUUCUUCUAUCUCUCAAUUUCUAGAAAAGCAAAAAAAAAAAGAAAAAAGAAAAAAAAGAGAGAUUUUGUUGCGCCUUUACAUGUUUAGAUUUGGUUUCUUUAGUUAAAUCCAGAUGCGUUAAGAUGCUCAUUUCCUAGAGAUGCUUCGCCUUCGUCUCAGGCUUCGUUUGGAGCUAUAACAGUAACCAGAUACAACGCGUAAUUGAAUCAAUAAAGUGAGUCUAACGGUUGGUCCUUCCAUCAUGGAUAAGAUAUCAUCUGACUGUCCUUACCCAGGAUGCUUCUUCUGUGUCAUGAAAGAGGGAAAUCCAAAUAAACGAAGAACAAGUAUACUGAAGUUCUUUAGAGAGCUUCCUUCUCAAGAUGAUGAUGGCCAGGUUCUCCCUAUCAGUGGCCUUUGGAACACUGCCAUGGCGCAUCCAAAUGAUCCUGAGUUUGUUAACUUGGGAAUAUUUGAAUGCAUGGCUGCAUUGAUAUGGAAGGGCUUAAAGAACAGGCGUUGGCUUACACAUGACCAGAACAUAUACAUCCCUUAUUAUGCAGCUCAUAUAAUUGGAUCUUACACGAUGAAUAUGGAAGAGUUUGCAGAAACUGCAGUGCAUGCUGGAGUCAUUCCUCCCUUAGUUGAACUUUUACGGGGUAGGUUGACCUGGGUGGAGCAAAGGGUAGCAGUUAGGGCCCUGGGACACUUGGCUACAUAUCCUAGUACAUUUCCUGCAGUGGCAAGUCAUGGAGAAGUCCUUGAGCUUGCCAUUCAGCUGGCAUCAAGUUCUCUGGAGAUUGUCUACUCUCACUUUUACCAGUUCGUGGAUAGGAGACUAAGCUAUCACUGUGAUCUACUUACACGGGGGAUGGGUGGUGUGGAAAUGGAAUCCAGGAAAGCAGAGGAAUGGGCCAGUCAGUUACAGUGCUGGUCUCUUCAGCUAAUUAACUGCUUUGCUUUCAAGCCCGAGUUUCUCCCUGAUAUAUGCAAGCCAGAAUUUUUAAUGAAAUUACCAGGCAUGUGGGGUGGGCUUGUCAAUGAGAACUCACCAGCUGGUAUUGGUUUACUGCGAACAAUUUGCCAGCACAAGCUUGGGAGGAGUCCUGUUGCUAACUGUCCUGGUACUAUUGACGCACUAUGUAAUAUUGCUCGUUCAUCAGAUGACUGGCAGUACAUGGCCAUUGAUUGUCUCGUUUGGCUACUUCAAGAUCCAAGUACUUGCCAUAAGGUGAUCGAUAAGGCAGCCCCAGCACUUAUAGAUUUAGCAGAAAUUUCAACUCUUGGUGAUCAUAAAAGACUUGGGGACAGCAUUGUUAGUGUCCUUCAAGAAUGUAUACAGUCACAUGGGACAGCACGCAAUUUUAUCAGUAGCCAUACAAAAGAGCAGAUUGAUGAGCUUUUGAGUUCCAGGCAGAGAUUAAAAUGGGAAAAGAAUAUGCCAAAGGAGGAUCUGCAUAUAAAGCAGGCAGCAGCUCUGGUUGUUAAGCUGGAAGGAAAUUCUUUAUUUUCUUCAGGAAAUAUUGCAGGAGCUGCAUCAAAGUACUCUGAAGCACUGGCAUUGUGUCCCAUGAAGUCAAAAAAAGAGAGAGUUGUGUUGUACAGCAAUAGAGCUCAAUGUUAUCUUCUCUUGCAGCAGCCAUUGGCAGCCAUUAGCGAUGCUACACGUGCAUUGUGCCUUCAUAACCCUCCUAAUCGUCAUGCCAAAAGCCUGUGGAGAAGAGCCCAAGCAUAUGAUAUGCUUGCUUUAGCUAAAGAGAGCUUGUUAGAUGCCAUUCUUUUCAUUAAUGAGUGUUCUCAGUCAAAUGAUCCUGACCUUUCCUUGAGACAGAAUAAAGUUCCUGAUUAUGCUGAAAGGUUAGUCAAGAAGCAGAUGCGUGCUGCAUGGCUAUUCAGAGAAGCAGCUAUAAAGCAUGGGGGAGUUCAUUGUGAGGGUGAUACUGGAGACGUAUUUGGCCAAGAGGCUGAUGAUUCUGAGUGGGAGACAGCUAGCGAAAGUGAUAUUGGAAAUGAUGGAAGAAGAGAAGCAGAUGAUGAUGAGAGUGAAUGGAAAAAUGAUGACAACCGGAAAGAUAUAUAUGACAAGGCUUCUACAAAAGAUAUGAAUCAUGGAUAUAAUGUGCUGCUUGCUGAAGAUGAUACAUGAUUCCCCAAGUGAUUAACACAAAUGAGGUCACAAACUGUUAAUCAUCAUCAGGGAGCUUCUUUGAACCUUGGAGUGUGAAAGGUGUUGCGCAGUUCUUUGAAGUGUAAUUACUGCUGAGAGUUGGACUUUGUAUUUCAUUGGAUUUACUGCUCUUUGGUAAAUGCGUCUUACAAAUCAGUACUACACAAUGGUAAUCCUUUUUCUCUCUUCACUAUUCUUCAUGUCAGAUAUUGUCUUUUAUCACAGAUCAAAUGAACCAGAAUCUAGAAUAUUAGAAUAUGUCUCACAUAUAUUUGUGGGAAGACGCAGUGUGGUUCAUUGGUUUGAUUCUUGUCAACACAUUAUUCUAAGAGGAUGCUACUGAGAUGUAUUAAAGUUGCUUGUUGCUUCUAAGGGUACGAAGAGAUCAUGUUAAAGGUUUUUCAUCCUAUGCGAAUUAGUGGGGACUGUUUCU